GUUGUUGUGGUUAAAAAGCUCGUAGUUGGAUUUCGGCGGGUAGUGGUUGGUUUGAAUUGCUUCACACUGACUUUUUUACCCGUGUGUUUUGCCAGAAUUUAACGGGUGAUCUUCACCGAUUGUCCGCUGAAACUGGCAGGUUUACUUUGAAAAAAUUAGAGUGCUCAAAGCAAGCAUUACGCUUGAAUAGUUGCGCAUGGAAUAAUAGAAUAGGAAGUCGUUUCUAUUUUGUUGGUUUUCGGAAAUCGACUUAAUGAUUAAUAGGGAUAGUCGGGGGCAUUCAUAUUCAAACGACAGAGGUGAAAUUCUUGGACCGUUUGAAGAUGAACUAAGGCGAAAGCAUUUGCCAAGAAUGUUUUCAUUAAUCAAGAACGAAAGUUAGAGGUUCGAAGGCGAUUAGAUACCGCCCUAGUUCUAACCAUAAACGAUGCCAGCUAGCGAUCUGCCGGCGCUUAAUUUUCUGGCCUGGCAGGGAGCUUCCGGGAAACCAAAGCUUGUGGGUUCCAGGGGAAGUAUGGUUGCAAAGCUGAAACUUAAAGUAAUUGACGGAAGGGCACCACCAGGAGUGGAGCCUGUGGCUUAAUUUGACUCAACACGGGAAAUCUCACCAGGCCCGGACACUAGUAGGAUUGACAGAUUGAUAGCUCUUUCUUGAUUUGGUGGGUGGUGGUGCAUGGCCGUUCUUAGUUGGUGGAGUGAUUUGUCUGGUUUAUUCCGAUAACGAACGAGACUCUGUCCUGCUAAAUAGAUUCAACCUUUCUUUGGGUUGAAA
rnacentral:rRNA from 1 species